ACGAACGCUGGCGGCGUGCCUAAUACAUGCAAGUCGAACGAGUCCUCCCAAUUUGAUUUUAUGCUUGCAUAAAUGAUUUUUGGAUUCGGGACGAGUGGCGAACUGGUGAGUAACACGUGGGUAACCUGCCCUAAAGCAGGGGAUAACAUUUGGAAACAGAUGCUAAUACCGUAUAAUUAGUUGGAACCACAUGGUUCCAACUUGAAAGAUGGCUCUGCUAUCACUUUAGGAUGGACCCGCGGCGUAUUAGCUAGUUGGUGAGAUAAAAGCUCACCAAGGCGAUGAUACGUAGCCGACCUGAGAGGGUAAUCGGCCACAUUGGGACUGAGACACGGCCCAGACUCCUACGGGAGGCAGCAGUAGGGAAUCUUCCACAAUGGACGAAAGUCUGAUGGAGCAACGCCGCGUGAGUGAAGAAGGGUUUCGGCUCGUAAAACUCUGUUGUUAAAGAAGAACAAGUGUAAGAGUAACUGUUUACGCUUUGACGGUAUUUAACCAGAAAGCCACGGCUAACUACGUGCCAGCAGCCGCGGUAAUACGUAGGUGGCAAGCGUUGUCCGGAUUUAUUGGGCGUAAAGCGAGCGCAGGUGGUCUUUUAAGUCUGUUGUGAAAGCCCUCAGCUCAACUGAGGAAGUGCAGCGGAAACUAGGAGACUUGAGUACAGAAGAGGAUAGUGGAAACUCCAUGUGUAGCGGUGAAAUGCGUAGAUAUAUGGAAGAACACCAGUGGCGAAGGCGGCUAUCUGGUCUGUUACUGACACUGAGGCUCGAAAGCAUGGGUAGCGAACAGGAUUAGAUACCCUGGUAGUCCAUGCCGUAAACGAUGAAUACUAGGUGUUGGAGGGUUUCCGCCCUUCAGUGCCGCAGCUAACGCAUUAAGUAUUCCGCCUGGGGAGUACGACCGCAAGGUUGAAACUCAAAGGAAUUGACGGGGGCCCGCACAAGUGGUGGAGCAUGUGGUUUAAUUCGAUGCUACGCGAAGAACCUUACCAGGUCUUGACAUCUUCUGCCAACCUAAGAGAUUAGGCGUUCCCUUCGGGGACAGAAUGACAGGUGGUGCAUGGUUGUCGUCAGCUCGUGUCGUGAGAUGUUGGGUUAAGUCCCGCAACGAGCGCAACCCUUAUUAUUAGUUGCCAGCAUUAAGUUGGGCACUCUAGUGAGACUGCCGGUGAUAAACCGGAGGAAGGUGGGGAUGACGUCAAAUCAUCAUGCCCCUUAUGACCUGGGCUACACACGUGCUACAAUGGAUGGUACAACGAGUCGCGAAACCGCGAGGUCAAGCUAAUCUCUUAAAGCCAUUCUCAGUUCGGAUUGCAGGCUGCAACUCGCCUGCAUGAAGUUGGAAUCACUAGUAAUCGUGGAUCAGCAUGCCACGGUGAAUACGUUCCCGGGCCUUGUACUCACCGCCCGUCAAGGG
rnacentral:rRNA from 1 species